UACAGAGGUCUCAAGCGUUGUUCGGAUUCAUUGGGCGUAAAGGGUGCGUAGGCGGCGCGGUAAGUCGGAUGUGAAAUCUCGGAGCUUAACUCCGAAACUGCAUUCGAUACUGCCGUGCUUGAGGACUGGAGAGGAGACUGGAAUUUACGGUGUAGCGGUGAAAUGCGUAGAUAUCGUAAGGAAGACCAGUGGCGAAGGCGGGUCUCUGGACAGUUCCUGACGCUGAGGCACGAAAGCUAGGGUAGCAAACGGG
rnacentral:rRNA from 1 species